AUCUAAUACUUAAUUUUUACCCCCCUCUAAUCUUUCUUCCCCUUUUUCAUAGAAUUUAGCUGCUGAAAAGACUUACAAUAACUGGAUAUCUCACUGAAAAAAGCCAACGAGCAUCGAACAGAAUGGUUUGAAGGUGUUCAAAAGUGUACCCUAGACGAAACUUUACUUUCAAUAAUGGAAAAAAUAGUUAGAGCAGAGGUUCAUAGAUUGGUGGUUGUAGAUGAAGAAGACAAGGUCAUUGGAAUAUUAUCUUUGUCAGACUUGCUCUUAUUCUUAGUCCUAAGGCCAUGUGGUAAGUAGUUUAUUUUUCUCAGUAUUCAUACUUACUUUCAUAAUCAACUAUUCAUUAAGGAUGCAGCAGCCCUACCUACAGCUAUAAUCAUUUGUGGUUAAGAACUCCUAAUCGUUUAAAUUGCAAUGAAAGAUAGAGUUGAUAAGCUCAUAUUUUCUUUGAUUUUAACAGUUAAAAGAAUGCCCAAGUGACCUGGUGCGUUGCUUUUAAAAGUUUUGGGUACUUUUUCUAAAAUAAAUUGGUAGUAAAUCAAAUUGUCAAUCAAGCAAAUACUAUAGUUAAACUCAGCAAGAUAUUGUAUUUAAUUUAAAAAAUGUAUGAGUAAAAAAAAAAGGUUUUCAUUGAAACCGUGACUCUUCACUAAUAUACCUCUGGCAGUCAAUUUGGUCAUCAUUUUCAACUGAUUUUCAUGCCGUUUCGCUCAUCAUUUACUCAGCUCUAACCUCCCAUUUAAAUUAAAAUCAAAACCCCCAUCAAUAACAGUUUGUGUUUCUUGAUGCCCUAUUAUUUUCCAUUCAAUCCAAAUUUAAGUUAAUUUUUUGGUUUACUGACAUGUUAAGCAUAUAUUUUCUUAUUAAAAAUUCACUCUUUUCUCCCCGCUUGUGGUAUCAGGAAGAUCCUCUACUUAAAAAAAAAGCUUUAAAGGGGGAAUAAAAUCCUAGUCAUUUCUUCUUACUAAAUGUGCAUUUUUCCAAUAGUGAACUCAAGAAACAUGUAUUUUAACAUGUAUGUA
rnacentral:lncRNA from 1 species